AGCGAACGCUGGCGGCAGGCUUAACACAUGCAAGUCGAACGGAUCCUUCGGGAUCAGUGGCAGACGGGUGAGUAACACGUGGGAACGUGCCUUUUGGUUCGGAACAACUCAGGGAAACUUGAGCUAAUACCGGAUGUGCCCUUCGGGGAAAGAUUUAUCGCCAUUAGAGCGGCCCGCGUCUGAUUAGCUAGUUGGUGAGGUAAAGGCUCACCAAGGCUUCGAUCAGUAGCUGGUCUGAGAGGAUGAUCAGCCACACUGGGACUGAGACACGGCCCAGACUCCUACGGGAGGCAGCAGUGGGGAAUCUUGCGCAAUGGGCGAAAGCCUGACGCAGCCACGCCGCGUGAGUGAAGAAGGCCUCGGUUGUAAGUAC
rnacentral:rRNA from 1 species